CUGGUGGAAGCAGAACCCCACGAAGAGGCAGGGCAGUUGGCCCCGAACCACGUAAGGACACAUACAUUAUAUGACAGCUCUGAUGCUCCCAUUCAGUCAUUGGCCUCUUAAAGUUUCAGCUGGCCAUGUAAUCCCAAUCCCCUCUACCUCUUCAUUCCCUUGUAGGAGAGAAGAUACCAGUGAUAGAAUCCAGAACCUUCAUAAACAGCAAUCAGGAAACAAGACAAACAAAAACAUACUUGUCCUAUAUCUCCAAACCCAGGCACCCUAGUAGUACAAUACUAGUGAGGACAAAGAUUAGGAAUCCUUAUAUAGAGCUGAUAAUUAGUUGAACCUAACCAAAAGUCAGAGCUGAAAAUGAAAGGAGCAACACUGCUGGCCACAAUGAUGAGGAGAGGAGAACCCAGCAACUACCUGGGGCAAUUCCAACAAAAACAACCACUGACGAAGCCUGAAUUUCCUGAUCACCAGCUGUACUGAUUGGGGAAAGAACACCUGUACUGAUGUUAGAAAAGCUGCUUCCCACCUCCCAGG